AUUUAAGUAGCUAAAUUAAUAGCGUAGUAUUGAAGAUACUAAAGUAGUUUUUAAACUCUUAAAUA
rnacentral:tRNA from 1 species